ACAGAUGUUGGUGAUUACCAAGUGAAAUUGCGUGCAAUUUUAAAAUUCCUUGAAGAAGGGAACAAAGUUAAAAUUACUUUACGUUUCCGUGGUCGUGAAAUGGCGCAUCAGGAUUUGGGUUUGGUGCAAUUACAAAAAGUUGAGGUAGAUGUUGCCGAAUUUGGUGUAAUUGAACAACAACCUAAAAUGGAAGGUCGUCAAAUGGGUAUGUUGAUUGGUCCGAAGAAAAGAAAAUAAUUCUUUGGAUUAAGUAAAAGUAACGCUGUCUUUGGGCAGCGUUUUUUAUGGAAAAUUGAUUGUUCGGGGUAGGAUAUGCAUUAACGAUUCUACUUAUAAAAUAGGGGAG
rnacentral:misc_RNA from 1 species